rnacentral:rRNA from 1 species
UACGUAGGGGGCAAGCGUUGUCCGGAAUCAUUGGGCGUAAAGAGCGCGUAGGCGGCCCUGUAAGUCCGCUGUGAAAGUCAAGGGCUCAACCCUUGGAUGCCGGUGGAUACUGCAGGGCUAGAGUCCGGAAGAGGCGAGUGGAAUUCCUGGUGUAGCGGUGAAAUGCGCAGAUAUCAGGAGGGACACCGAUGGCGAAGGCAGCUCGCUGGGACGGUACUGACGCUGAGGCGCGAAAGCGUGGGGAGCAAACAGG